rnacentral:rRNA from 1 species
AAUCAACGCUGGCGGCGUGCCUCAGACAUGCAAGUCGAACGAUUAAACUUCCCUUCGGGGAAGAUAUAAAGUGGCGCACGGGUGAGUAACACGUAAGUAAUCUACCUUCGAGUGGGGAAUAACAGUCGGAAACGACUGCUAAUACCGCAUAAUGCAGCGGCACCUUAUGGUGACAGUUGUUAAAGGAGCAAUCCGCUUGAAGAGGAGCUUGCGGCAGAUUAGCUAGUUGGUAAGGUAAUGGCUUACCAAGGCUACGAUCUGUAUCCGGUCUAAGAGGACGGUCGGACACACUGACACUGAAUAACGGGUCAGACUCCUACGGGAGGCAGCAGUCGGGAAUUUUGGGCAAUGGGCGAAAGCCUGACCCAGCAACGCCGCGUGAAGGAUGAAGUAUUUCGGUAUGUAAACUUCGAAAGAAUGGGAAGAAUUAAUGACGGUACCAUUUA